rnacentral:rRNA from 1 species
AUUGAACGCUGGCGGCAUGCCUUACACAUGCAAGUCGAACGGCAGCACGGGUGCUUGCACCUGGCGGCGAGUGGCGAACGGGUGAGUAAUAUAUCGGAACGUACCUUAUUGUGGGGGAUAACGCAGCGAAAGCUGUGCUAAUACCGCAUAAUCCCUAAGGGGGAAAGCGGGGGACCGUAAGGCCUCGCGCAAUUAGAGCGGCCGAUACCUGAUUAGCUAGUUGGUGAGGUAAAGGCUCACCAAGGCAACGAUCAGUAGCUGGUCUGAGAGGACGAUCAGCCACACUGGGACUGAGACACGGCCCAGACUCGUGCGGGAGGCAGCAGUGGGGAAUCUUGGACAAUGGGGGCAACCCUGAACCAGCAAUGCCGCGUGAGUGAAGAAGGCCUUCGGGUUGUAAAGCUCUUUUGUCAGGGAAGAAACAGCAGCUCUAACACAGUUUGCGAAUGACGGUACCUGAAGAAUAAGCACCGGCUAACUACGUGCCAGCCGCCGCAGUAA